GAUGAACGCUGGCGGCGUGCCUAAUACAUGCAAGUCGAGCGAACAGAUGAGGAGCUUGCUCCUCUGACGUUAGCGGCGGACGGGUGAGUAACACGUGGAUAACCUACCUAUAAGACUGGGAUAACUUCGGGAAACCGGAGCUAAUACCGGAUAAUAUAUUGAACCGCAUGGUUCAAUAGUGAAAGACGGUUUUGCUGUCACUUAUAGAUGGAUCCGCGCCGCAUUAGCUAGUUGGUAAGGUAACGGCUUACCAAGGCAACGAUGCGUAGCCGACCUGAGAGGGUGAUCGCCCACCCUGGAACUGGGACACGGUCCAGACUCCUACGGGAGGCACCAGUAGGGAAUCUUCCGCAAUGGGCGAAAGCCUGACGGAGCAACGCCGCGUGAGUGAUGAAGGUCUUCGGAUCGUAAAACUCUGUUAUUAGGGAAGAACAAAUGUGUAAGUAACUAUGCACGUCUUGACGGUACCUAAUCAGAAAGCCACGGCUAACUACGUG
rnacentral:rRNA from 1 species